rnacentral:rRNA from 1 species
CCAGUUCGGAUUGUAGUCUGCAACCCGACUACAUGAAGCUGGAAUCGCUAGUAAUCGCGGAUCAGAAUGCCGCGGUGAAUACGUUCCCGGGUCUUGUACACACCGCCCGUCACACCAUGGGAGUCGGAAAUGCCCGAAGUCUGUGACCCCAACCCCUGGUGCGGAUGACCGAGAGGGGAGGAGCCGUCGAAGGCGGGCCUGGUAACUGGGGUGAAGUCGUAACAAGGUAAC